UAGUUUUCAGUCUUCCUUUUCUCGUCUUCCUUCAGCAUCCAUCACCAGGACGUGAAAGAACCAGGGGACAGUGGUUACAACCCUGGGACCGAGGAGCAAUCGUUUCUGAGUUGGGAGUUGUUGUUCUCUUAUUAAAAUAAGUACUUUACUGAGUGCCGAUAUGCCAGGAAUCUCUGUUCUCACACAUCUUUUAUUUUUCUCUCCCCAGUAGCCAAGGUUUGGGAAUAGAGCGUGAAACAAUCCCUUGAGCUGUUAUCCAGUAAUUUACUGGAAGACAUGAACAUAUCUUUAAACUGAAAAUAAGACAGCGAUUUUAACGUUUCCCAACUUUGUGAGUGUUUAGGUUUUAUGCAGUAGCACAUUAUUUAUUAGUAAGUCGAUGGAGCUAGUGCAUGUCUUACUUCACUUAUCUUAUGAGUAUAGAUUACUUUUGCUUGAACUUUGUGGUGUUUUUAUAGAUCCCAAAGCCUCCACAAACAUUGAGUUGUUACUACAAGCAAGACACUGGGCCACACAGUAAGGAAUCAAGAGAUGAGUAUGAUGAAGUCCUUGUCCUCAAAAAAGACAUACACAGCUAAUUACAACCACUCAAAGAAGUAAAUGAAUAAGAAAUUGCAGAGAGGCACAAAAAAUUACAUAAGAACAAAUGACUAAUUAUGCCUGAGGAGAUGGUGAAACAUUCAUGCUUCAAAAAAAGAAACAGACAGAAGGAGCACAUUCCUGGAAAUGAAGCAUAUGUUGAUUAGAGGAAAAGGCAUUCACUUUGGAUAAAGUCUUUGGUAACAAAUCCCACAACACAUAGGUGCAUUGUGGAGAGUGAAGGCUGUAGUCCAUAGGCAGGGGUGUAACAGGUAUGUAAUUCAAUGGAGAAAGAACGAUUUCAAAGGGAGUUGAUGCAUUCGUCAUUGAAUCAGCAUGUAUACCCUGGUGUUAGCCAGCCUAUAGAUUGAUGUAAGACUAAUGAUUAGGGUUCUGGAGCUUCGGAAUCCCUUUGCAUGUGAGUUAGGAAGCCCCAUUAAUAUUGGUGAUAAUCAUAGGGAACAUCUUUAUAACUGUCUGGAUAACUGGGAUGGUAGCUAAAGGAUGGAGCACACUAACAAGGAAGGUUGUCAUCUGGCUGGGUCUUGAUUGCCAGUAUCGAUUCAGGGUUGAUUCAAUUGAUUGCACUGAGUGAGUGAGUUCUCUUUUCUUCCUGAGACUGCCCACUUGAGCAAAGAAAAUGACCUUCCCUGGAAGAUGAAAACUGUUCACAAGGUUAAAGAUUUGAGCUUCCACACUGGAUUACCCAGAAGACUCAAUAGCUGGUGAUGGAGGAGGAUACUCAAACAGGACGGAACGGUUAAAAAGGCUUCAUGUGAGAACAGUACACUGCCGCAGGGAGAAGGCAGAGAGAGAAGCAGGAAGGCUCUGCCGACACAGUCACUCAGCAGCUAACACUUUUCUCAGGCACCAUGCUAAAUACUUUACAAACGUCCUUCACUGAACUCUUAAGACAAAAAAAAAUAGGUGGUAUCACAUUCUUAGUUGAAGAAAUCAAGGCUUCGAAAGAUGAGCAUAAUGUGGACAUCUUUCCAUGACAACUAAAGUACUUGGCCAAGGCUCACUAGGCUAAUCCUCCACCUGCGGCGCCAGCACCCGGGUUCUAGUCCCGUUUGGGGCGCCGGAUUCUGUCCUGCUUGCUCCUCUUCCAGUCCAGCUCUGCUGUGGCCCAGGAGUGCAGUGGAGGAUGGCCCAGGUCCUUGGGCCCUGCACCCGCAUGGGAGACCAGGAGGAAGCACCUGGCUCCUGGCUUCUGGCUUCGGAUUGACGCAGUGCACUGGCCAUAGCAGCCAC